rnacentral:rRNA from 1 species
ACUCAAAUGAAUUGACGGGGGCCCGCACAAGCGGCGGAGCAUGUGGCUUAAUUCGAAGCAACGCGAAGAACCUUACCUGGGCUUGACAUGCGGGGUGAAACCGUAGAAAUACGGCGCUCCUCGGAGCCCGCACAGGUGGUGCAUGGCUGUCGUCAGCUCGUGCCGUGAGGUGUUGCCUUAAGUGGCGCAACGAGCGCAACCCCUGUCCUUAGUUGCCAGCGGGUCAAGCCGGGAACUCUAGGGAGACUGCCGGUGCCAAACCGGAGGAAGGUGGGGAUGACGUCAAGUCAUCAUGCCCCUUAUGUCCAGGGCUGCACACAUGCUACAAUGCGCGAUACAGAGGGUUGCGAUCCCGCAAGGGGGAGCGAAUCCCAAAAAGUCGCGCUCAGUUCGGAUCGGGGUCUGCAACUCGACCCCGUGAAGUCGGAGUCGCUAGUAAUCGCAGAUCAGCAAUGCUGCGGUGAAUACGUUCCCGGGCCUUGUACACACCGCCCGU